AGAGUUUGAUCCUGGCUCAGGAUUAACGCGAGCGGCAGGCCUAAUACAUGCAAGUCGAACGGUAACAGGUGUAGCAAUACAUGCUGACGAGUGGCGCACGGGUGCGUAACACGUACGUAAUCUGCCUUUAACUGGGGGAUAACUCCUCGAAAGAGGAGCUAAUACCGCAUAACAUCACCGGACGGCAUCGCCUGGUGGGCAAACCUACGGGGGUUAAAGAUGAACAUGCGACUGAUUAGUUAGUUGGCGGGGUAACGGCCCACCAAGACUACGAUCAGUAGGGGAUCUGAGAGGAUGAUCCCCCACACGGGUACUGAGACACGGACCCGACUCCUACGGGAGGCAGCAGUAAGGAAUAUUGGACAAUGGAGGCAACUCUGAUCCAGCCAUGCCGCGUGAAGGAUGAAUGCGCUAUGCGUUGUAAACUUCUUUUAUACGGGAAAAAUAUCUGCUAUUCUUAGCGGAUGAUGUACUUAAGAAAAGGUUCGU
rnacentral:rRNA from 1 species